rnacentral:rRNA from 1 species
UACGGGGGGAGCAAGCGUUGUUCGGAUUUACUGGGCGUAAAGGGCGCGUAGGCGGCCACCGCAAGUCAGUUGUGAAAGCUCUGGGCUUAACCCAGAAAGGUCAGCUGAUACUGCGGGGCUAGAGUGCAGAAGGGGCAACUGGAAUUCUCGGUGUAGCGGUGAAAUUCGUAGAUAUUAGGAAGAACACCGGUGGCGAAGGCGGCCCACUGGAUCGGUACUGACGCUGAGGUGCGAAAGCGUGGGGAGCGAACAGG